GUCUUUCAAGUCCGAUGCUAAAGACUGGGGCUCAACCCCAGGGGUGCGUUGGAUACUGUGAGGCUAGACGGUCGGAGGGGGUAGCGGAAUUUCCGGAGUAGCGGUGAAAUGCGCAGAUACCGGAAGGAACGCCAAUAGCGAAGGCAGCUACCUGGACGACUUGUGACGCUGAGGCGCGAAAGCGUGGGGAGCAAACCGGAUUAGAUACCCGGGUAGUCCACGCCCUAAACCAUGAGUGCUGGGUGUCCGGCUUCUGCUGGGUGCCGUAGCUAACGCGCUAAGCACUCCGCCUGGGAAGUACGCACGCAAGUGUGAAACUCAAAGGAAUUGACGGGGGCCCGCACAAGCGGUGGAGCAUGUGGUUUAAUUCGAAGCGACGCGAAGAACCUUACCAGGCCUUGACAUGCCCGGAGCCCCUCUGAAAGGAGGGGGUGCCCGCAAGGGAGCCGGGACACAGGUGCUGCAUGGCCGUCGUCAGCUCGUGUCGUGAGAUGUUGGGUUAAGUCCCGCAACGAGCGCAACCCCUAUCCCUAGUUGCCAGCAGUUCGGCUGGGCACUCUAUGGAGACUGCCUGCGAAAGCAGGAGGAAGGCGGGGAUGACGUCUGGUCCGCAUGGCCCUUACGGCCUGGGCGACACACGUGCUACAAUGCCAAGGACAGAGCGCUGCUACCUCGCGAGAGGACGCCAAUCGCAAAAACCUUGGCUCAGUUCGGAUUGGAGUCUGCAACUCGACUCCAUGAAGCCGGAAU
rnacentral:rRNA from 1 species